AACUCGCAGGAUAAUGUGGUUGGGCCGAACACCAUCGUUCGGGCCCAGGAAAGUCCCCGGGCCAUGUUAUGCUGAGAAGCAUCCUUGGUAACAAGAGAGCCAUGAUUCGGAAAUUCUUCUCGCACUCGUGCGAGCGGCUGAGACGCGUGUGGAGCCGCCGAGUUUCCUCAUGGUAUUUGGCCGAUUACACAGUUAUCCACAUGCUUUAAUAAAGCAACUGAACGGGGCUUACAAUCCUGCGGGU
rfam:Citrus clementina cultivar Clemenules unplaced genomic scaffold scaffold_8, whole genome shotgun sequence.